rnacentral:tRNA from 1 species
CGCAACGCAACGGCGUCGAGUGCUCACCUUCCGGCCGGUUGCUCCCUUGAUUCUCUCCCAGGGUUGAGCGACCGGCACUGUUCCCGUAGCUCAAUGGGCAGAGCACCCGGCUCUUAACCGGGUUGUUGUUGGUUCGAGUCCAGCCGGGAACACGGGGCACGUACGGCACGGGAUGCGUGUACGGCGUGCCCAAUCACUUAGGGGGCAGCGUGAGCGGGUACACCUGGGCGUGG